GUAGUCCACGCCCUAAACGAUGCCAACUAGGUGCUGGGGAAGGAGACUUCCUUAGUACCGUAGCUAACGCGUGAAGUUGGCCGCCUGGGGAGUACGGUCGCAAGAUUAAAACUCAAAGGAAUUGACGGGGACCCGCACAAGCGGUGGAUGAUGUGGAUUAAUUCGAUGCAUCGCGAAAAACCUUACCUACCCUUGACAUGUCCGGAAUCCUGCUGAGAGGUGGGAGUGCUCGAAAGAGAGCCGGAACUACAGGUGCUGCAUGGCUGUCGUCAGCUCGUGUCGUGAGAUGUUGGGUUAAGUCCCGCAACGAGCGCAACCCUUGUCAUUAGUUGCCAUCAUUCAGUUGGGCACUCUAAUGAGACUGCNCGGUGACAAACCGGAGGAAGGUGGGGAUGACGUCAAGUCCUCAUGGCCCUUAUGGGUAGGGCUUCACACGUCAUACAAUGGUCGGUACAGAGGGUUGCCAACCCGCGAGGGGGAGCUAAUCUCACAAAGCCGAUCGUAGUCCGGAUUGGAGUCUGCAACUCGACUCCAUGAAGUCG
rnacentral:rRNA from 1 species